rnacentral:rRNA from 1 species
UACAGAGGGGGCUAGCGUUAUUCGGAAUUAUUGGGCGUAAAGGGCGCGUAGGCGGCCACGCGUGUCUUUCGUGAAAUCCCUCGGCUUAACUGAGGACGUGCGGAAGAAACUGCGAGGCUUGAGUCCGGGAGAGGGGGGUGGAAUUCCCAGUGUAGCGGUGAAAUGCGUAGAUAUUGGGAGGAACACCGGUGGCGAAGGCGGCCCCCUGGACCGGUACUGACGCUAAAGCGCGAAAGCGUGGGUAGCAAACGGG